rnacentral:lncRNA from 1 species
GUAUGUGAGGUGGAGCUUUAUCUAGCACGUAAACAAUCUUCUCCAAUGUUAGGAGAAUCUUGACAUUACGAAACCAUGAUGGGAAAUUGUGCCCCUCUAGGCAAUGUUUGUCGAGUAUUUUCGCAAGUGUGCUUCCAACCAUAUCUAAAUACAUAAACAAUAAAAUAAUUAGUUUGAUUGUUGAUUAAGUCAAACGAUUCGGGUCUUUAAACCGAAUGACACCACCCACCAUUUUUGGAAAAUUCCAUAUCCCUCAAGAUGGAAUCCGGGAGAUUUCAAUGAAAGCUCCUAGCGGGUUAUGAGAGGCUCACUAUUACCAAGCCCACCUCACGAUGAUACAAUAUUGGCUAGCAAAAAUAAUAAUGAGAGGGUACACUUACCCAUUCACAACAACCUCUUGUGAUUACCCAUCUUUUUGGCCUCUAGAAAACAAUGCCUCACGAUGAUACGAUAUUGGCACCAUUUUUCUUAUUUAAGUUCUUUCCCACCAUGCCGGUUUAGAUAGGGGUCCAAGUAUGACCUCACGAUGAUACGAUAUUGGCCACACUCGUUGCCUACCUUCACCUCAUCAAAUGUUUUAAAUAAACUCCUCCUGAGUAUAAGCAUGCACUUUGCACUCCCCCAUGAUAGGGUGAAGGCGGUAUACAAGUCAUAAACGAUUGGAGCCUACCACGGUGGAAGGCCAUGAAAAAGUGUUCAAAGCACUCUUACGCUUUCAACUUAAUAUUGUAUGUUGGUUGAGGGAUUUUAAGGUCUCAUCAAUUUUAUUUAUUUAAUCACAUUCAAAUAAAUUGUGUCCUAUUAUAACUACUAGUCCAGAGUUAAUGAAAUUAGUAGCAUGUGAUAUCCCCACUAUUCGUUUUCAUAAAACAAAUCAAUAUCAAAACAUUUUUCAAAAUAUUGGAGAUAUAUAUAACUACUAAUUGUAUUCAUUAUAGUUUAGUAGCGUAUGAUACUCCCACUAUUUGUUUUAAGAAAAACAAAUCAAUAUCAAAAACGAAUUUUUUUAAAUAUUGGAAGUAACUACUACUACUACGGUUUUUGCAUUCCUUUGAAUUUGGACUUUAUAGUUAUCGUAGGCUCUUGGAUGACCAUGGACUUAUUAGGUUAUUGCAACAACGAGCCAACAUAGUUGAAUAAGAACUCGGGGAGGUUGUAUCAAUUUAAUUACGUGCUUUUCAAUCCAAUUAAACAUUUUCAUUGAGCCAUUAGAAAUGAAAGACAAUCAUUCAUUGCUAAUUAGGGCGUUGGACACAUUUAAUCUUUAAUCUCAUGUCAAAACCCUCUUUUAGUUAUGUCUCUUUACCAAUAGUUAAAGAAACUCUAGUCUAGCACUAGAGGGAAUCAACUAACUAAAAGAGAUUAAGAAGUAAUAAGAAUUACAAACAGAUUUGUUCAAAUUCCUACAAAUUACACAUACUAAGAGGGAGAGAUAGAUUAAUGUCCAACGUGACAAGGUCCAAUUGAAACAGUAAUUAAAACACAUUCCCAAGGUUCAAACAAUUUGAGUUUAGCGCCUUAUCUCAUAGCUCAAUUAUCGUUUAAGGCAUAAGUCCAUAGUCACCCAUUUUUCUAACUACUUAAUCACAUUAAAUAAUCAUAUGGAAUGCAACAUAAACAUUUAGAUUUAGUGCAUAUGGGCAUAAUAUUAUUAUGAGUUUAAACAACUAAUAAAAUUAAAAUCAAAUAUUUUAACUUUUCAAAUAGUAGGGGCCUAAAUGCAAAUAUGAAAAGUUAGGGGUCAAACCGUAAAUACUUGAAAGUAUAAACAACCCUUUUAACAUUACAAAAAAGCCCCACAAGUGGGUAAUCCACUAGGGUGGCCGGCCAACAUAAUGGGGAUGGGAGGUUUCACCCAUCUUGCGUUGAACCAACACAAAGUAGAGAAAAAAAUUAAAUUUUGCUUGUCACUUGGUUUUGCUUUAAGGACUUUAGUGAAAAGGGUGAUGGAAAUUUAACUAGACUAGUCUAGGUUUGAAUAAAUUUUGAGAUGGCUAUGGAUGGUUUGUACAUCAUCCAAAACCACAAAACAAUGCAUAAGAAACAAAUAAAACCAUUUUCACCAAAAACCAAACCAUGAACACCAAGAACAAAACCAUGAACACAUUUUCAAGAUUUGUAUAUUCUUGGUGAUUUUUCAAACCCAAAAACAAAAGUGACAAGAUUUCUACUUUCUUGCUUCAAAGUGUGUGUGUGUGAUUCAAAAUAAAAACACAAACACAUAGCCAAAAUCCCCUUUUUGCCGUGCCCUCCCUAUGACUCAAAACCCCAAAAUUUGUUCUAAACUCAUUCUUCAUUCAUGCAUCCAAAACACUUUUUGCAUACAUAUCUUUCUCAACUAUUGAUUUACAUUUUUCAACAAUUGAAAAACAAAAGAUAAACAUACUUUGAAUGAAGCAAUAAUAUGUCAUACAUAAAAUUAAGACCCAUAUGCAUAAAAUCCAAAAAGGACACAUCAUACAUAAACCUUUGGCUCUGAUACCACUUGAAGGGAGAACCAUGAGAUUCAUGUGGGAUUUCUAGUGACUAGCAUGCAUAUACAAUUCAAAAUUUAUAUACGAAAGCAACGGAAGCAUGUUAUCAAAUAAUAUCAAAGCAAUAGUCAUGUAAACCCCUUUCAAGAUGCAUAGGUUUAUGUAAGAUGCAUCAAAAACAAAUUUAUAUAAGAACCAAGUUUAUGAGUAGUUUUAUACCUCUUGAUCUAGAUCUUAGACCAAGGAUGGACCACCUCCAAGCCCUUUGCUCCUUGAACUCCUUGAGCCUAGCCUCCUUCCUUGCCUCCUCCACUUUGUUUAGAAUGAGUGCUCCUAGGUUCUCUUCAAUUUUCCAAAAUUGAAAACCUCUAAAGAUCCUCACCUACUAGUGUAGUGAGAAGGAUGAAGGAAUAACCAAAGGGGUGAAAAGAUGAUUAGCUAAAUCCCCCUUAUGGUGGCUGGCCCUUUGAGUGUUAGAGAGAUAUUUUUCUUUUUUUCUUUUGUUCUUUUAACACUUCAAAAACCCUAAUGAAACAUUUGCUAUAAAGUUCCUUUUAUAGCCAAAAAGAAACAAGUCAACAUUUGACCUCUCUCCCUCCUUUGGCCGGCCCCUUUGUGUUGUUUGGGCUUUGGGCUUUUAUUUAUUUCAAGUCAUCCAAUGCUUGAAUAAAAGCCCAAUGGGUUUAGGCCCAAUGGGCCCAAUUAAACCCGAACGUUUCUUUAAGCCCAAAACGAUCUAAUAUCGCUUUUAUGAUUUCUUUAGACUUUCUAAUUAAUCACAACACUUAAUUAAUCCAAUUAAUUAUUUCCAUCAUCCAUUAAUUACUCACUACAAGAGUGUAUUGGUGAACAAUCGUUUUAGGUUCUAAUUAGCAAGGCAGUGAGGUGAUUGGCACCAAUCCAAUUGAUUAUAUUUAAUCCAAUCACUUAGUGAAUUAGAACUUACUUUUAAUUCACCUUCUUCUUUGACGACUACAUUUAAUCAUCUAGAAGAACUCACAAGCCAUGAGUGACAUCUAACCAUAUAUCAUGGCUACCCAAGCUAAUGUAGAAGUUGUUCGGAGAACCUAUUCAGUUGGAAUUACAAUGUGAUUCGAUCCUUCUCUAAAACACUACUCUCAAUCACAUCACUAGGGUAUGGAUAUAUUAUGUCAAACCCCUAAUGUGAUUAUUCCUUCUUAUAUGAUUCAAUUGAGUCGUAUAGGAACGUUUUCCUUUAUUACGCUCGAUACUUCGGCCGAAGAUUCUAGAAUCAUAUCUUAGAGUAUUCAUCCUCUCUUAACGAGGAUUAGAGAUUCCUUGUUGCGCAUUCACUUGCCUUCAUGACUAAGUGGCUUAACCCCGACUAUGCCGUGGACACCCGUGGAUGGAGUGACUUUGACAUAAUCAAAGAUCAAGUACUUAACCACAAGACAACGAUGAUGCCUCAGGUCAAAGGAC